UACUGAUUGGUGCAUUUAUAAUCCUUUAGCUAGACAAGGAAGUUCUCCAAGUCCCCACUAGAUUAGCUAGACACAGAGCACUGAUUGGUGCGUUUACAAACUUUGAGCUAGACACAGGGUGCUGAUUGGUGCGUUUACAAACCUUGAGAUAGACACAAAGUGCUGAUUGGUGCAUUUACAAACCUUUAGCUAGACAUAAAAGUUCUCCAAGUGCCCACCCCACUCAGGAACCCAGCUGGCUUCCCUAGUGGGUCUGGUGUAGGUCCGCUGGCGGAGCUGCCAGCCGGACACACGCCCCACGCCCGCACUUCUCAGCCCUUCCGCGGUCCAUGGGUCCGGCCGUCGUGGAGCAGGGGGCGGCGCCCGUCGGGGAGGCUCCAGCCGCGCGGGAGCCAACGAUCUCCUCCGGGAGUGGUGGGCAGCUACUGUGAAAGGCCUGGUUCAAAAACCUCACAGCGGUUGUUUUCAGAGUUGUCCCUCCUGUGUACUCUCAAAGCCCCAGAAUGAAGCAAAGCAUCCUCCCUUUUCAAACUGGCACUCUUCCCCAACCUUGAGGACCACUAGGCACUUUGUUUUUAAAGCCACAAUAAAAAACUGGCAUGUAUCAGAUGAGCAGACAUGAGAAAGAAUAAAAAAUGCCCCCAAACCUGGCAUAUAGAUGUGUUGUUAACAAUUCAUGGCGUGUGUUUCUGUGUCGGAGGCAGGAGGGAGCUGAAAAGAUGCAGUUUUAUCUCCAAAGGAAAGAUGGAUGUUGAAUAAAUGGAUAAAUGGUGCCUAAACUGUGACAACAUCACAUUGUUCCAAAUCACUCCAACUGUGUGGGAUCUGAGCACACCCGAGAUAGGGUCUUGCUAUGUUGCCCAGACUGGUCUCCAACUCUUGGACUCAGACGAGGUUUUGCCAUGUUGCCCAAGCUGAUCUCGAACUUCUUGGCUCAAGUGAUCUGCCUGCCUUCCAAAGUGCUGGGAUUACAGGCAUGAGCCACCAAGCGCAGCCAUGAUUUAUUAGAUCACUUCUAAAAGCCCUCUCUCCAUCUCCAAGCCAGCAAGUGCUUCUUUGCACCCCAGCUCUAAAACAAAGCCCUUGGGGACACAAUCAAAGACAGUAGUUGCCAAGAGGAAUAGGGAGCAUGGAAAGAAGAAAUCAACUCUAAGGAAAGAAGUAGGCAGGAAACCUGUUGAAAGAAAAUGAAAGCAUUAUAUUUCAGCAAUUACUUAAAUCCUGCAAGAAGAUCAUGUUUGAUGGACACUGAAACUGGACAUUGUAGAAGAUGAAUUAUGAGAGUGAUUUAUGAAAGAAAGACAGUGGAGAAUUGCAAUCGAUGGAGACAUUCAAAGAAAAGACUUUGGCACUACAUCAAAAGAGAGUAGAAUAAAUGACGAAACUAAAGCACAAAGAGAUUAAAGAACUUAUCCAAGGUCAUGCAGCUGGAAAGAAGUGGAUUUGGGAUUGUGAACAUCACAAUUUCACAAACUACAUUUCAUGAUGGGUAGAGCUAGUCAAACGUCUGAAAAUAAAGUUUGGUUUAAAGAUGACCAUCGUCUUGUUAAGAAAUUAUAUAAAUGAGUAUCACUAAAAAGUCUCUCUUUAAACUCACCAAGCACUCUUCACUAUGGACAAGAAAGUGUGAAUAUGGUUAUUUUUUAUUUAAUAUUUUCAUGAUGAUUAACUGAAGGAUCUGACAGUAAAUAGUCUUUGGGUCUUUUUAAACUAAAACUCCUGUUGUUGUUGAUAGCAAUUGAUGCAAUUGAUAGUAAUGUGCUGUAUCCCUCAGAUGUAUUCCAGCUGAAGAAGGUGGAGAGCCACUAAAAUUUAUUGUUCUAUGUCAUUUUUCCAAAUCAUCUUUUGAUGACUGUCCAUCUACAUAUUGCUCAGUGGCUUUAUAUUUAGAACAUUAUUUGGGAAAUUGUAAUUUCAAAUAUUUUAACCUAUAAAUAUUCAAUGAAGCCUUGGCAAUGAAGAGUAAGACUUUAUAAAACCUUGAAUAUAUGAAUAGCACAGUUCUGGUUAUCUAUGUAACAACAUCCCCCAUAGUAACCUAAAACAAUGACAUUACUAUAUCCCAUGAUUCUGUGGAUUGCCUGGGCUUAGGUGGUAAGUUCUCAGGGUGUUGCUCAUUGUCACACCCAGAUAGCAGCUAGAACUAGAGUCAUCUGCAAACUCCUUUUUCUUGUGUGGACCAUCCAAGGUAGGUUUCUCAUGCACAUAUCUAGUGCUUUGGUGCUUCUUGGCCUCUCUCUUUCCACAUUGUAUCUCAUCUUCCUGGCCUCUCCACAUGGCUUGGGCUUCUUGUUGCAUGGUGUUACGAGGUACUCACACUGCUAACACAGUAGCUGACUUUCAAGAUACACAAAUUGGACCCUUUUAGACCAAUUAAGGGCUAUGGUGAAACUGGAGCAGUAUCACUCUCAUUGUAUUCUAUUGGCCAAAGUAGCAGAGGGCCUGAUCAGACCCAAAGAGGUAGAGAAAUAGAUUCUACUUCUCAAUGGGGGAGUACCAAGUUCAUAUUGCACAAGGGGAUGUAGAAUGGGAACUAUUGUUGUUAUCAUUAGGUAAUACAGUCUGCCUAAAGUACUAUAUCACCUAAUUAGACUUGCUUUGCACAUGAUGACCAGGAGGAAACAAGAUACUGUUUUGGAAUGUACUCACUAAGCAGCUGCCUAGAUGCUGCUUACCUAACAAGUGCCUUGUUUCCACUCAAGGUCAUGGAUCUUUGGGAGUCUAAUAAGAGUGAUGAAAAAUUAUUCAUAGGUCUCCUUCCUUUACUAUACAAUCCUCGCUGCUAAGAGAAAGAUGGGCAAAGGACCUGGGAUGGAUAUCUUUGUGAAUCUAUCAAUAAUGGAUAAAAUAUCUCAUUUGUCUGCUUUCCUUAUUAUCUAAUUCUUCCCUCUUAGAGGAGUCUGAGCAAAGGAGCCUAGACUGGGUGUAUGGUGGAGAGUCAGUAACUAGGAGUAGAAUCUAAAUCAAAUCAAUAGUGUCCUAGUUAACCAAAUCAAAGAGUAAAUGUACAGAAACACAGGAAACCAUGCAGGGUAAUCAAGACUAAAAUUCUGGGUUAUAAGGAACAGCCUAAAACAAUUCUGAGUUGCAAAAUAAAUGGCACCAAUAAUCUUAUACUAAAUUUCAGAAUGUUAGGAUAGGCCUUAUUCUGCUUAAGAUCAGAAUUGGUUCAAGAUACUGGGUUGGAGUUGAACUAGAAGGUUGUAGGUUGGUAGCCCCAGCUAGAAGGAGAGGCCUAGGAGGAUGCCAAGGAGUAAUUGGUAAGUUGCAAAUGUUGAGUUCCUACCAUGGACUUCUGCAGCAAUUGGUGACUGAUUUGUUAGAUGUUGCAGAGAGACUCAAAACAACUAUCAAUCAUCCUGUUAAUUAAAAAUAUUCAUUGGAUUUUUAAAUAUAUUAUAUUAUAUACUUUUGAUAGGAAAACAAUAGAAUGGUAUAAAAUAAUAAAUUUUAUUGUUUUACUUACAUAUUCUUUAAUUUCUAGUAAUCUGAUAUUUUUUCUUCUUCUUUUUUUUUUUGAGACGGGGUCUUGCCCCAUCGCCCAGCCUGGAUUGCAAUGGCGCAAUCUUGGCUCACUGAAACCUUCGCCUCCCAGGUUCAAGCAAUUAUCCUGUCUCAGCCUCCCGAGUAGCUGGGACUACAGGUGCCGCCACCAUGCCCAGCUAAUUUUUGUAUUUUUAGUAGAGAUCAGGUUUCACCUUGUUGGUCAGGCUUGUGUUGAACUCCUGACCUCAGGUGACCUACCCGCCUUGGCCUCCCAAAGUGUUGGGAUUACAGGUGUGAGCCACUGCGCCCGGCCUAUAUCUGAAUUUUUAAGAACUAAGUUUUACAUUUGAAGGUAAUGUAAAUAAUAUAUACAUUUAUGAAUAUCCUUGGUUGCAUUAUUUUUAAUAGAUUAAUACUUAUAAUAGUAUGAAUCUACAUUAGCUAAAAAUGACCUUAUGUAUAGUUGAUUUAGUUCUGGUCAUUUUAUCAUUUUGAUAAAUUAUGAAAUUAUAUCAUUGCAUAGACUGGUUGAUUUUUAUACAAUUGUUUGUGUGACUAAUUGGGGAAAGACUGGAAUGCUUACUACAAGGGUGAUUUAGUUUUUGAGUUUAAACACAAGCUAAGGUUUCAAUUUCCUGCAGUGGAAGUGCUUUCUGAGCUUGCCUGAAUAGGACUAAAAUCGUUCUAGCCAAAGAGGUGUUGAAUAAUGAUGAAUUUUUCUUAAGGUCAGCUGAUCUAUUUUUAAAGAUAACAUAGUGAAUGAGAAUCAAAGCUUAUCAUUUCUGAAAAAUGACAAUAAUAAUAAAUUGCAAUAUACUUUUAAAGAGUAGCAGUUAUAUUUGGACAGAACUUUAUUUUUUCCAGCAUGUGAAUCAUUACCUAAUAAUAUUUCAUUUAAUUAAUCAGAAAAUUGUGAGUCAAUAGCUCUGCUUACAAAACCUAUAAACAGAAACUCCAAUUCAACCUUAUCGCUACUAAAUUUUAAUGUUAAGAGACAACACAAAUUAAUUAAAGACAAAAUGAUUCACAAAAUAAUUACAGCCUCUUGUUGCCUUAGGGAAUAAUAAAGAACUAACUUAUUUCAGUAGUGAGGCUAUUAAUGGUGUGCAUGACAAAGAGAUAAACCCAAGUAUAGUUAAUUCCAUUUAAAAAUUGCCUCUGGCAAAUGAAGAAAAUAAGUGAAGAAAAGAAGUGCUUGUGUAUAUAUGUGUGUGUAUAUACAUAUAUGAAGUGAGAGAAUUAGUAAAUUUUAACCUAAUUUGUUUUUUAAAAUAAUUAAUGUAUAGGCCUUUUCUGUUGUGACUUUGAAAAAGUAUUUGAAAA
rnacentral:lncRNA from 1 species